rnacentral:rRNA from 1 species
AGUGAACGCUGGCGGUAGGCCUAACACAUGCAAGUCGAACGGCAGCACAGUAAGAGCUUGCUCUUACGGGUGGCGAGUGGCGGACGGGUGAGGAAUACAUCGGAAUCUACUUUUUCGUGGGGGAUAACGUAGGGAAACUUACGCUAAUACCGCAUACGACCUACGGGUGAAAGCAGGGGAUCUUCGGACCUUGCGCGAUUGAAUGAGCCGAUGUCGGAUUAGCUAGUUGGCGGGGUAAAGGCCCACCAAGGCGACGAUCCGUAGCUGGUCUGAGAGGAUGAUCGGCCACACUGGAACUGAGACACGGUCCAGACUCCUACGGGAGGCAGCAGUGGGGAAUAUUGGACAAUGGGCGCAAGCCUGAUCCAGCCAUACCGCGUGGGUGAAGAAGGCCUUCGGGUUGUAAAGCCCUUUUGUUGGGAAAGAAAAGCAUCAGGUUAAUACCCCGCUGUUCUGACGGUACCCAAAGAAUAAGCACCGGCUAACUUCGUG